GACGAACCGUGCGAACGUUAUUCGGAAUCACUGGGCUUAAAGCGCGUGUAGGCGGGACGGCACGUCGGUCGCUGAAAUCCCCCGGCUCAACCGGGGAACGGGCGCCGAUACGACCGCCCUGGAGGGCGUAGGGGGACCUGGAACUUCCGGUGGAGCGGUGAAAUGCGUUGAGAUCGGAAGGAACGCCCGUGGCGAAAGCGAGGUCCUGGACGCUUACUGACGCUGAGACGCGAAAGCCAGGGGAGCGAACGAG
rnacentral:rRNA from 1 species